UUUACUUGUAAAGAAAACUAAAAUGAAGCUCAGCGCUUUCCUUACAUGCAGGAAAGAUGGGCCCAGGCCAUGGCCCUUGCCCCUUAAGUCGUCCUAGGAUGUCCCCUCCACACCCUCCAGCUAUGAGGGACUCACAAUUCCUUUCCCAAGCUGCCCAUGGGCAGCCCCAGGGCCUUGUGCCCCAGAGGCUGGGCUUGGCCCCCAUUUGUAUCCUUAGUCCGGAGGAGGACUGGCCCAGCAGAGGCUUUUGAGAGUCACAGGCUGCAAUGGUGUGGAAGGGAGACGCGGCUAGCAGAAAGCGAGACCACCCGGUCCACCACCGCAUCCUAGAGGGGCACUCAGAAAGGCCCAGAGCUGGAACGUCAUGCCUGGACUCCCUCACUAUUUGGAAAGACUUCUUUGGAGUCCUGUCAUCUAAGCUACAAUAAAGCUUUGUUCUUCAUUGGAAAAA
rnacentral:lncRNA from 1 species